rnacentral:rRNA from 1 species
AUUUUUAUGGAGAGUUUGAUCCUGGCUCAGGAUGAACGCUGGCGGCGUGCCUAAUACAUGCAAGUCGAGCGAACGGACGAGAAGCUUGCUUC